CUCACGGGCCCAACUGCUCCGCGGCAUGUGGGAUCUUCCCAGACCGGGGCACGAACCCAUGUCCCCUGCAUCGGCAGGCGGACUCUCAACCACUGCGCCACCAGGGAAGCCCUAAAGUGCUUCUUCUGAUGGAGCAAAGAGCAUAUGGAAGGGCCAAAUGUCUUGUUUUGCUCCAUAUUUAUCAAUAUUUGGGAGAAAAGAAAGAUCAGUGGGUUUUAGAAUAUUCGGAGUUGUAUAACCAUCACCAAAGUCUAAUUUUAGAACAUUUACAACCCCCCCAAAAGAAACCCCAACUCAUGCUCAUUAGCAAUCUUUUCUCAUUCCCCAACUGAGGAACUACGACUAUUCAAUUUUCUAUCUCCAUGGAUUUGCCUAUUCAGGAUGUUUCAAAUAAAUGGAAUUAUACAA